rnacentral:rRNA from 1 species
UACGGGGGGGGCGAGCGUUGUUCGGAAUUACUGGGCGUAAAGGGUGCGCAGGUGGUCGGGUAAGUCUGAUGUGAAAUCCCGCAGCUUAACUGCGGAAUGGCAUUGGAUACUAUUCGGCUAGAGGGUUGGAGGGGGGACUGGAAUUCUCGGUGUAGCAGUGAAAUGCGUAGAUAUCGAGAGGAACACCAGUGGCGAAGGCGAGUCCCUGGACAACUCCUGACGCUGAGGCACGAAAGCUAGGGGAGCAAACAGG